UACGUAGGGGGGCAAGCGUUGUCCGGAAUCAUUGGGCGUAAAGGGCGCGUAGGCGGCGCGGGGAGUCAACGGUGAAAGCUCGGCGCUCAACGCCGAGUCGGCCGUCGAUACUCCCGUGCUCGAGCACUGUAGAGGCAGGUGGAAUUCCGGGUGUAGCGGUGGAAUGCGUAGAGAUCCGGAAGAACACCGGUGGCGAAGGCGGCCUGCUGGGCAGUAGCUGGACGCUGAGGCGCGACGCGUGGGGAGCAAACAGG
rnacentral:rRNA from 1 species